UACAGGGGGUGCAAACGUUGCUCGGAAUCAUUGGGCGUAAAGCGCACGUAGGCGGUUUGUUAUGUCGGAUGUGAAAGCCCUUGGCUCAACUGAGGAAGUGCAUCCGAAACUGGCAAGCUAGAGUACUAAAGAGGGUCGCGGAAUUCCCGGUGUAGAGGUGAAAUUCGUAGAUAUCGGGAGGAACACCGAUGGCGAAGGCACUUUACUGGGCUAUUACUAACACUCAGAGAACGAAGCUAGGGUAGCAAAUGGG
rnacentral:rRNA from 1 species